UCUCUGAUUGGUUGAGGAAUGGGAGACGACCUCUGAUUGGUUGAUUGCAUGUUACCCAGAACACAGCUCUGAUUAAUGAAGACACUAAGGACAACCCUUUAGAACCAUGCGCCCGCAUGGACCCUUUUUUCCGCUGUCAAACUAGCUAAAGUGGAUUUGGACGCGCCCUAAACGCACCUGCGCCUUGUGCUUCAAGCCGUGAGCUUGGAUGGG